AUUGAACGCUGGCGGCAGGCCUAACACAUGCAAGUCGAGCGGUAACAGAGAUAGCUUGCUAUCUGCUGACGAGCGGCGGACGGGUGCGUAACGCGUAGGAAUUUGCCCGAUAGAGGGGGAUAGCCCGGAGAAAUCCGGAUUAAUACCGCAUGCCUUCUAAGGAAGAAAGCAGGGGAUCUUCGGACCUUGCACUAUCGGAUGAGCCUGCGUCGGAUUAGCUAGUUGGCAGGGUAAAUGCCUACCAAGGCGACGAUCCGUAGCUGGUCUGAGAGGAUGAUCAGCCACACUGGGACUGAGACACGGCCUAGACUCCUACGGGA
rnacentral:rRNA from 1 species